GCAUGGAUGAAUUCUGCAUUAUCUUGUGGUGAUUUUUGCAGUCAGACACCAUGCUAGAGUAAACCUCAGUUAUGCUUUUUUGUGGCUUGCUGUUUAGCAGCAGGUCUGCACAUCUGAGGACAGUC